AUGCAUCCUUGGAUUUCAACCAACCCUCUUCCCCUGGUCUGGAGAAACCCACUAAUGUCCCGGCAGUCAAUGACUGGUUACUCAGAAGUGAGGAGACCUGGAAUCAGGCUCACACUCACCUCCAGCAUGCCAUCCAUCGACAGAGAGAACAGGCUGAUCGUCACCAUCGUCCUGGUCCAGAGGACAGUCCAGGUCAGUGGGUAUGGCUAUCCACUAGAGACUUACGUCUUUGGCUGCCCUGCAAGAAACUCAGUCCUAGAAUGGACCACUGGUGGUCCAAAUGAGGAAGGAGAGGAGGUGUCCGGUGACCAGGGUCCCCUGCCCAUCAUGGUAGAUGGAGAGGAGGCGUACCAAGUUAGAGAACUGCUUAACUCCAGGCGCCGGGGGAGAAUUCUCCAGUAUUUGGUCGAUUGGGAGGGGUACAGUCCGGAGGAGCGUUCCUGGGUUAAUGCAGAUGACAUUCUCGACCCUAACCAUGUGGAAGAGUUCCACCGCACCCAUCCAGAUAGUCCGGCCCCCCGACCACAUGGGAGACCCCGGCGUCGCCUGCCUCCUCGCGCCAAGAGGUUCUUGCAGGGAGGGGGCUCUGUCACAGUGUCGAACUCCAUGGUUCCCUCUUCUGACCAUCAGAGGGCUCCCUCACCCGAAUAUUGACUCUUACACUCUCACGCUACAUUUCCCAUCAGCACCGUAUCUAGGACUGAUGACCCAGCCCAGCUGUAGCCCAUUAGCUGGCCUAUUUAAGCAGUCUGUUCCUACCAGCUCAUUGCAAAGUCUUGUAUUACUGCGGCUUGCAUUUCUGAGCAUUUCCCUUUGUGUAGCCUGCCUGUUGUGACCUUAUCUGUUCCGCGUGUUUGACUCUCUGCUGCCUGCAAUUCUAAUAAAGCCUGCUUAUGGAUCCCACUUCAAGUGAUGCCCCGUUACAUUCAGUCUGUGUGCAGUGUUGCCAACUAAUUUUCAGAGAAAGUUGCUAAUGGAAGGUUGAUUUGUUGCUAAAAGUUGCUAAAUGACAUUGUGAUGUCAUUUCGCAAUGACGUCAUUGCGUAAUCACGAAGCAAAAUUGUCACAACAUCAAAUCUCAGCGAAAUUUUUUUUUUUUUUAUGUUAAUUUAGAUUUCUUUGUAAAAUAUGCAUAAUAUAAUAUUAAAAUAUAAAUAACUGUAUUUUUUAAUUGAUUGAAUUAUUGAACACUUACACAUUUUUAAAUGAUUACAAUUAAAAAAAAAUAGUUUAUAAAUAGUGAACUAGAAAUUCUACACAUUUUCAACAAUUAUGCUUUAAGCAGUGUUUUAAGUAGUUUAUAUGCUACACUCUGAGAAAAGUCUGUAAAAACAGGGCAAAAUCUACUAUGUUAAUAUGAGAUUUUCCGUAUUGUUUUAUACCUGCAUUUUAAAUUACGCAUUGUGUUUUUUCGGGUUACAAUGGAUAAUGUCCUGGAAAAAAUUACUAGUAUCUUUUCCAUUUUCCUUACAGUGUACAAGCUUCUAACAAAGAGUAUCAUAUUAAAUCAUUAUUAUUAUUAUUAAAUUCAAUAAUUGCAAAUAGCAGCUAACUCAAUUCAUGUGAUUUGUGUACUGCUAGGCAUCUUUGGUUUCCUCUUUUUGUGUAAUUUGGAUUGAAAAUUAUGCCUUUGAGUCACUUAUCAAAAUUUGCUAAAAGUUGCCAAAUAAAUUUAAAAAAAUUGCUAAAUUUGUUGCUAGGUGCUUUUGGAAGAAAAAGUUGCUAGGGUAGUCUGAAAAGUUGCUAAAUUUAGCAACAAAAUUGUCUGUGUGCACUAAAUUUAUUAUAUAUAUAUAUAUAUAUAUAUAUAUAUAUUAUUGUUUUAUUAAAACAUGACAUGUUUUACGGUAUGCCAAAUUCAUCUAGACAAUAAAAAAAACUAA
ensembl:lncRNA